GGUGAACUACUAGGGAUUACAGCUCUAAUAUACCCUAAUCAUCACUCUAGCUUAAUGAUUACGCAGAUUGGAAGUUUAAUCUUUAAGACUUUAUGUCAACUAUAAUUAAAAUUAGACUACAUGAUCUUGUUUUUUGAUUAACGACCUGAGCUUGAUCAACACUUUCGAUUGGAAUAUGGAUACGUGUGCCAUCUUCCACCGCCUAGUGCACAAAUCCCCACAGUGUUGGCAGCAGCAUC
rnacentral:lncRNA from 1 species